GCUGCGAUGGCCGAGUAGUUAAGGCGUUGGACUCGAAAUCCAAUGUGCGAUGCCCUCACAGGUUCGAAUCCUGUUCGCAGCG
rnacentral:tRNA from 1 species